ensembl:misc_RNA
GGCUCCGUCCUACUGGACCUGCCGCGAGAUAGAUACCCGAGACGGUCUCCUGAAGGCGACCACUUCGCCUGGUCCCCGAGCGUC